rnacentral:rRNA from 1 species
CAGCAGCCACGGUAAAACAGAGGGUGCGAGCGUUAAUCGGAUUUACUGGGCGUAAAGCGUGCGUAGGCGGCUUCUUAAGUCGGAAGUGAAAUCCCUGAGCUUAACUUAGGAAUUGCAUUCGAUACUGGGAAGCUAGAGUAUGGGAGAGGAUGGUAGAAUUCCAGGUGUAGCGGUGAAAUGCGUAGAGAUCUGGAGGAAUACCGAUGGCGAAGGCAGCCAUCUGGCCUAAUACUGACGCUGAGGUACGAAAGCAUGGGGAGCAAACAGGAUUAGAUACCCCUGUAGUCCCUGUCUCUUAUAC